rnacentral:rRNA from 1 species
GACGUAGGAGGCGAGCGUUGUCCGGAUUCAUUGGGCGUAAAGAGCGCGCAGGCGGCUUGGUAAGUCGGAUGUGAAAUCCCGAGGCUCAACCUCGGGUCUGCAUCCGAUACUGCCCGGCUAGAGGUAGGUAGGGGAGAUCGGAAUUCCUGGUGUAGCGGUGAAAUGACGCAGACUAUCAGGAGGAACACCGGUGGCGAAGGCGGAUCUCUGGGCCUUACCUGACGCUCAGGCGCGAAAGCUAGGGGAGCGAACUGG